rnacentral:rRNA from 1 species
AGAGCGAACGCUGGCGGCAGGCCUAAUACAUGCAAGUCGAACGGAUCCUUCGGGAUUAGUGGCGGACGGGUGAGUAACACGUGGGAACGUGCCCUUUGGUUCGGAACAACUCAGGGAAACUUGAGCUAAUACCGGAUAAGCCCUUCGGGGGAAAGAUUUAUCGCCAUUGGAGCGGCCCGCGUCUGAUUAGCUAGUUGGUGGGGUAAAGGCCUACCAAGGCUACGAUCAGUAGCUGGUCUGAGAGGAUGAUCAGCCACACUGGGACUGAGACACGGCCCAGACUCCUACGGGAGGCAGCAGUAGGGAAUCUUGCGCAAUGGGCGAAAGCCUGACGCAGCCAUGCCGCGUGAAUGAUGAAGGUCUAGGAUUGUAAAAUUCUUCAGCGGGGACGAUAAUGACGGUACCCGCAGAAGAAGCCCCGGCUAACUUCGCGCCAGCAGCCGC